rnacentral:rRNA from 1 species
UACGUAGGGUGCAAGCGUUAAUCGGAAUUACUGGGCGUAAAGAGCUCGUAGGCGGUUUGUCGCGUCUGCUGUGAAAACCGGAGGCUCAACCUCCGGCCUGCAGUGGGUACGGGCAAACUAGAGUGCGGUAGGGGAGAUUGGAAUUCCUGGUGUAGCGGUGGAAUGCGCAGAUAUCAGGAGGAACACCGGUGGCGAAGGCGGUUCUCUGGACAGUUCCUGACGCUGAGGCACGAAGGUCAGGGGAGCAAACGGG